UAUAGGCUCAUUUCAAUAAUUGUUAUGAUUUCGUUGUCUGAUAAAUACUAAUGAUAAAUUCUAUACAAGAUAUCACGAAAUCCAAUACUUUCUACCAGUUCGUCGAUAUCCGACAGUAUCCAGUAAAAGAUACUAGAAAUUCCAAUGAAUCUUAUAUACUAGUAGCAUUUUUUUAAAUGUAUAGGAAAAUCCAGUAGCUUUGUUCGUUUAGUUUUCGGUACUUGUUCAGACUUGGAGGAAGUAAGCCUAUAGCUGCCGGUAAACAUAAAAUGCAGAAAAAUAAAACGGUUAUGUGUUUUUGAGCCCAUUAGUUUAUACAUCUGGUUGGUGCGAAAUCAAAAAAUCUUUUGGCAGCGAAGAAUCGAACAACAACGGAUAAAAAAAUACACUCCAGAAUGUUUUGAGCAUCUUUCAUCUGAUUCAAACGGAAGCAUUGUAAAUUGAAAUUUGACCUCUGCUCAGAGUAACUUGUGGGCGCAAGACUUUGAUCAGGCGAAUGCUCAAAAGGUUCAUCGUACAUCAACAGCAAGGAGAAUAAUUAAGCUACAAAUUCAGUAUGUACAUAGUUUGAUACCAGUGUUCCUUCAUUCAACCACAGAGAAAAUCAACUCCUGGCGAGAUUUGGUUCUUUGAAUGAACUUCCAGACUUGUACCGCGUUUACGGAAAGUCUUAGAUCGAUGAUCACAUAAAAACAGAGUACGAGUUGGCGGGGAAAUCCUCAUCAAUAGAACGGCUGAAAAUAAGAACCGAAUCCGGAAAAUGCUCCAAUCUACAUGGUACAAUUGAUUUCAACGGAAAUUUUUCUUUGACGUUCAGAGGCCAGAGAUGGAUGUACUGUUUUAGACGGGAUAAAUCCAGUAACAAUAAAUGUUUAA